CCUACGGGAGGCAGCAGUGGGGAAUAUUGCACAAUGGGGGAAACCCUGAUGCAGCGACGCCGCGUGAGUGAAGAAGUAAUUCGUUAUGUAAAGCUCCAUCAGCAGGGAAGAAAAUGACGGUACCUGAGCCAGACGCCCCGGCUGACUACGUGCCAGCAGCCGCGGUAAAAUGGAGGGGGCAAGCGUUAUCCGGAUUUACUGGGCGUAAAGGGAGGGUAGGCGGCAGUGCAAGUCUGGAGGGAAAGGCGGGGGCGCAACCCCCGGACUGCUCUGGAAACUGGACGGCUGGAGUGGAGGAGAGGUAAGUGGAAGGCGGAGGGGAGCGGGGAAAUGCGUAGAUAUUGGGAAGAACGCCGAGGGCGAAGGCGGCAUACAGGACGUGAACUGACGCUGAGGCACGAAAGCGUGGGGAUCGAACAGGAUUAGAUACCCGAGUAGUC
rnacentral:rRNA from 1 species